rnacentral:rRNA from 1 species
CGUGCCUAAUACAUGCAAGUCGAGCGGAUGACGGAGGAGCUUGCUCCUCCCGAUUCAGCGGCGGACGGGUGAGUAACACGUGGGCAACCUGCCCUGUAGAUUGGGAUAACUCCGGGAAACCGGGGCUAAUACCGAAUAAUCCUUCGGACCUCAUGGUCCGAUGUUGAAAGACGGUUUCGGCUGUCACUACAGGAUGGGCCCGCGGCGCAUUAGCUAGUUGGCGGGGUAAUGGCCCACCAAGGCGACGAUCAGUAGCCGGCCUGAGAGGGUGAGCGGCCACACUGGAACUGAGACACGGUCCAGACUCCUACGGGAGGCAGCAGUGGGGAAUUUUGCGCAAUGGACGAGAGUCUGACGCAGCAACGCCGCGUGGGUGAUGAAGGUCUUCGGACUGUAAAACCCUGUCGUCAGGGACGAAGGUGGCAGUGUUAAUAGCGCUGUUACUUGACGGUACCUGGAGAGGAAGCCCCGGCUAACUCUGUGCCAGCAGCCGCCGUAAAAC